rnacentral:ncRNA from 1 species
AAUCGAAUAAAAUAACAAAGUUCCCAAAACUGGUGCACAAUUUGUGCUUUGUGCUAUGAAUGUCAAUGUGAAGAAAUUUAAUGAAGUGAAAGUAACACAGGGUAACUCUUGACCUUCAAGGUAGCCAAAUGCCUCACUGUCUGAAUAGUGAAGCCCACCAAUGAAUGAAUGAGAUU